rnacentral:rRNA from 1 species
AGAGUUUGAUCCUGGCUCAGAAUCAACGCUGGCGGCGUGCCUAACACAUGCAAGUCGAACGAGAAAGUCCCGCAAGGGAUGAGUAAAGUGGCGUACGGGUGAGUAACACGUAGCUAACCUACCCUCGAGUGAGGAAUAACCUGGGGAAACUCGGGCUAAUACCCCAUAACAUCCCGAGCAAUCGGGAGCAAAGGUCCGCA